rnacentral:rRNA from 1 species
GUUUGAUCAUGGCUCAGAACGAACGCUGGCGGCGUGCCUAACACAUGCAAGUCGAACGCGAAAGGGGGCAACCCCCGGUAGCGUGGCAGACGGGUGAGUAACACGUGGGUAACCUACCCGAAGGUGGGGGAUAACCCUUCGAAAGGAGGGCUAAUACCGCAUGACAUCUCGAGGACCUCGGUCCUUGCGAUCAAAGCUGGCCUCUGUUUACAAGCUAGCGCCAACGGAUGGGCCCGCGCCCCAUUAGCUAGUUGGUGAGGUAACGGCUCACCAAGGCGACGAUGGGUAGCCGGCCUGAGAGGGCGAUCGGCCACACUGGAACUGCGACACGGUCCAGACUCCUACGGGAGGCAGCAGUGAGGANUCUUGCGCAAUGGGCGAAAGCCUGACGCAGCGACGCCGCGUGGAGGAUGAAGGUCUUCGGAUUGUNAACUCCUGUCG